rnacentral:rRNA from 1 species
CCUACGGGCGGCAGCAGUGAGGAAUAUUGGUCAAUGGGCGAAAGCCUGAACCAGCCAAGUCGCGUGAGGGAAGACGGUCCUAUGGAUUGUAAACCUCUUUUGCCGGGGAGCAAAAAGCGGUACGUGUACCGCAUCGAGAGUACCCGGAGAAAAAGCAUCGGCUAACUCCGUGCCAGCAGCCGCGGUAAUACGGAGGAUGCGAGCGUUAUCCGGAUUUAUUGGGUUUAAAGGGAGCGAGGGCGGCGGGUUAAGUCAGUGGGAAAAUUUCGGGGCUAAACCCGGCCAAGCCGUUGAAACUGGCUUGCUAGAGUGGGCGAGAAGUAGGCGGAAUGCGUGGUGUAGCGGUGAAAUGCAUAGAUAUGACGCAGAACUCCGAUUGCGAAGGCAGCAUACCGGCGCCCAACUGACGCUCAGGCACGAAAGCGUGGGUAUCGAACAGGAUUAGAUACCCGUGUAGUC